rnacentral:rRNA from 1 species
GAUGAACGCUGGCGGCGUGCUUAACACAUGCAAGUCGAACGGAAAGGCCAGUGCUUGCACUGGUACUCGAGUGGCGAACGGGUGAGUAACACGUGGGUGAUCUGCCCUGCACUUCGGGAUAAGCCUGGGAAACUGGGUCUAAUACCGGAUAGGACAAUGGUUUGGAUGCCGUUGUGGAAAGUUUUUUCGGUGUGGGAUGAGCUCGCGGCCUAUCAGCUUGUUGGUGGGGUAAUGGCCUACCAAGGCGUCGACGGGUAGCCGGCCUGAGAGGGUGUACGGCCACAUUGGGACUGAGAUACGGCCCAGACUCCUACGGGCGGCAGCAGUGGGGAAUAUUGCACAAUGGGCGCAAGCCUGAUGCAGCGACGCCGCGUGGGGGAUGACGGCCUUAGGGUUGUAAACUCCUUUCGCUAGGGACGAAGCGUAUUUGUGACGGUACCUGGAGAAGAAGCACCGGCUAACUACGUG